CAGUCCAGGUGGUUGAGAUGCG
rnacentral:miRNA from 10 species